CUAAAAUUCAAAAGCCCGUUUUUGGACCCACAAGCCUAUAAAACUCAUUUCCUUGGCUCAUGAACACACAAAUAUUCAUAAUUCAUUUCUUUGAUCCAUGAGUCCACAAGUACUCAAAAUUUUAGUCCAGCCCACCAAUGAAUCAAAACUCUAGAAACUAUUUAGGAAUAAAAGGAAACAAAAAAAUAAAAUAAAAUAAAGUUAAGAAAAGACAAAACAAUGGGUAGGAGAGGGAGGUGGCGUGACAGAAGAAAAGAAAGGACAAGGGGGGAGAAAAAAAAGGAGAAAAGAGUGGAGAUGGCGUGUGGGAAAGGGGGUAGAGUGUAGGAGAGGUUUUGGUUUUUGGGGAAGGGGGAAAGAGAAGGAAGGGCAGUGGCAUAAGACAGAAAAAAGAGGGAGAGCAGAGCGGUCGAGUGAGAGAAAAAAAAAGGGCAGAAGAAAAGAAACAAAGACAAAAAAAGAAGAAAAAGGUCGUAGGGAGGUGAGCAAAAAACAGAGAGAGAGGGGUGGGGCAACCGGCAGAAGAAAGGAAACAAAAAGAAGGAGAAAUCAGGGCCAAAGAAAAAGAACAGAGCAAAACAGAAGGGUUUUGGUGAAGAAAGGGGAACCGUUGGGAGAAGAAGACCGACGGAAGGAACUAAGAUAUAAACCGGGAUUCAUCUCCUAAGAAGGUAAUCCAUCCCUCUGAAUAGGAUUUCAUUUCUUUGUCAUGCCUUGAUUCUAGUUUGUACUGGUUGGCUUCCAUAUCUGUGACAGUAUAAAAGCUUGCCCAUAUGGUCAUCUUUCCUCAAACUCUAUGUUUCUGAUGAUACUUGUGAAUCCAUUUCUGCAAGUUUCUGGAAAUAUACCUGUUAUGCCCAUGUGUGUGUAGUUCUAUGUCAUUAUGCUUAGUUCGGGUUCAUAUUGUGAGUACGUGCGUAUGUGCUUGUUAUCUGGUGAUGAUGAAUGAUUGAAACUCUGUCUCCUGUACGUGAUAUACUAAUUUGAGUUUGAUUUUAACUUGUCCGAGCGUUGCUAGAGUAUCUAUGGUUUAUUUUGAAUGAAAUAUGGUCUUUGUUAUUCCUUGAUUUGAGCAUGUAUAUGUCUAUGUAUAUAUACAUAUGGGUUUGUUUGUGUCCGUGUAUAUAUACAUAUAUAUUGUGGGUGGAUGUAUGAAUUUGUUUGUUUGUGUGUGUAUAUAUGUACCGUGUGGGUAUAUACGCAGUGGGUUUGCGUGUAUAUGUGUGUAUGUGUUUGUAUAUGUGUGCCAGUUUAUAUAUGCAUUUGUAUAUAAUGUUUAUAAUGCAUAGGAGUAUAUGGACUUGAUUUAAUUUGAGUUUCUAUGGCAUUUGAACACAAUUUUGACCCUAUUCUCUUAUUUGAUUUUGGACAUUGACCGGGCUGGACACCAUGAGGGACGGAGGCCACACUUGGAAGACUUGGAUCAAAUUUGAACAACGGGUCCCAUGGAAAGCUAGCGUAUAAAAGCAAUUAAGCUUAAAGCAUCGACGUAAUGGAUAUUAUUUAAACGGAAACAAUCCUGCUAUGAGAUCAAUAAAGGCUUUUGCUGAUUCAACCUCUCUUUCAAAAAGACAUCUCAUCCAAGCAAGAUGAAGGAAACACAACGACGAGUCUUCAAGAAGAAGAAUAGAGAGGGAGAGAAUAAAUGACUUUUGUUAUUGGUAAUAUUGCUUCUUGAGCUAGAAAACAAAAUUCCAUGUUUGGAAGAGAGGAUAAGGUUCCUAUAAUGUAAAAUUAUCCUUUAAUGAAACUACCAGAAAUUUGGAUGGUUUUUA